GAGAACUUUGACUAUAGGGAACUUCAGCAUGUUGUUUUCUGACUGAUAUUUCUUGCUGCUUCUAGUUGGCAAAAUGCCCUGUGGAGGUUCUGCUGUGAAUCAAGAAGCUCUAGAAAUAGUGGUAGCUGGAAAUGGGGAUACGCAUCAUUAGUUUGCUUUAAACCAGUACUCUCUCUAAUAUUUAAUUCUUUUUUUUAUCCCCAGAUAAUAUACAGGAAUUCAAGGAGGGGAUUGUCCUCAGUCCUCCAUCAGAGAAGAGGAUGGACCAAAAAUAUUUUUUGGCAGACAAAGGAGCUGCAGUUACCUGGGGAGAAUAAGAACAGAAAAAGAACAACACAAGAAGGAGACAGAAUUUGUACAUCAUUUCUGGAGCUUGAAAAAACUGCCUUGGGGGUGAAAGCAUAUCUAGGUGAUACUAGGUGGAAACAUCUGCAGCAGGAUGAGAAGAAGUCAGAACCCAAUGUCACAACCACUGCUGCAGUCAGAAAACACUUCCAGUUACCCAUCCAAGAAAAUAUUUUUCCUUUGAGGGAAAAGAGCUGCUACCGGAUCCAGAAUACUCACUUUGACCUAAAAGGAGGAGCAAAAGAAGAAUAUUAUUUCACUUAAUGCCUUUCAAAAUAUCAGCCAAAAUAUUUACUAAAUUCUGUUAUACUACUAAAAAAGAAAUAAAGAUAAAGAAUAAAGCA
rnacentral:lncRNA from 1 species